rnacentral:rRNA from 1 species
UGGGGAAUUUUGCACAAUGGAGGAAACUCUGAUGCAGCGACGCCGCGUGAGUGAUGAAGAUCUUCGGAUUGUAAAACUCUGUCCUUAGUGAAGAUAAUGACAGUAACUAAGAAGCAAGCCCUGGCUAAAUACGUGCCAGCAGCCGCGGUAAUACGUAUGGGGCAAGCGUUGUCCGGAAUUAUUGGGCGUAAAGGGUACGUAGGCGGUUUAAUAAGUCCUAAUUAAAAGGCUAUGGCUCAACCAUAGUAUGGUUAGGAAACUGUUGAACUUGAGUAGAUGAGGGGAAAGUGGAAUUCCAUGUGUAGCGGUGAAAUGCGUAGAUAUAUGAAGGAACACCAAUGGCGAAGGCAACUUUCUGGAAUCAAACUGACGCUGAGGUACGAAGGCGUGGGGAGCAAACAGG